GAGUUUGAUCAUGGCUCAGAUUGAACGCUGGCGGCAGGCCUAACACAUGCAAGUCGAGCGCGAAAGCACUUCGGUGUGAGUAGAGCGGCGGACGGGUGAGUAACGCGUAAGAAUCUACCUAGUAGUGGGGGACAACUCGAGGAAACUCGAGCUAAUACCGCAUACGCCCUACGGGGGAAAGCGGGGGACCUUCGGGCCUCGCGCUAUUAGAUGAGCUUGCGUUGGAUUAGCUUGUUGGUGAGGUAAUGGCUCACCAAGGCUACGAUCCAUAGCUGGUCUGAGAGGAUGAUCAGCCACACCGGGACUGAGACACGGCCCGGACUCCUACGGGAGGCAGCAGUGGGGAAUAUUGCGCAAUGGGCGAAAGCCUGACGCAGCCAUGCCGCGUGUGUGAAGAAGGCCUUAGGGUUGUAAAGCACUUUCAAUUGGGAGGAAAAGCUAACGACUAAUACUCGUUAGCCUUG
rnacentral:rRNA from 1 species